rnacentral:rRNA from 1 species
GAUGAACGCUGGCGGCGUGCCUAAUACAUGCAAGUCGAGCGAAUGGAUUAAGAGCUUGCUCUUAUGAAGUUAGCGGCGGACGGGUGAGUAACACGUGGGUAACCUGCCCAUAAGACUGGGAUAACUCCGGGAAACCGGGGCUAAUACCGGAUAACACUUUGAACCGCAUGGUUCGAAAUUGAAAGGCGGCUUCGGCUGUCACUUAUGGAUGGACCCGCGUCGCAUUAGCUAGUUGGUGAGGUAACGGUUCACCAAGGCAACGAUGCGUAGCCGACCUGGGCGGGUGAUCGGCCACACCGGGCCUGAGACACGGCCCAGACUCCUACGGGAGGCAGCAGUAGGGAAUCUUCCGCAAUGGACGAAAGUCUGACGGAGCAACGCCGCGUGAGUGAUGAAGGCUUUCGGGUCGUAAAACUCUGUAGUUAGGGAAGAACAAGUGCUAGUUGAAUAAGCUGGCACCUUGACGGUACCUAACCAGAAAGCCACGGCUAACUACGUGCCAGCCGCCGCGGUAA